UAUUCUUGGCCGAAACUAAAAGAGAAAGAAAAUAAGAAACAAGCUAGGUAUUCGACACUUUCAAGUCUUGAUUAAGGUAUGUAUUUUGUUGGGUUUUUGAUAAUUUUUACGUUUUUGAGAUCGUUGUUUCGUGUUCUUUAAAACCCAUGUCUUAAUUUUGUGAAUUGUGGAUAAUUUUGAAAUGUGCCAUUGAUGAAUGUUUGAGUUUCAUGAUGUUAGUUGAUGAAAUGUGAAAUAUAAGUGUUAGAUUAACAUAUUUUGUCUUUGAAUUUUUGGUGAAUUUGAGUAAUUAGGGCUAAAUUGAGAAAAUAAAAUUUUGAGGGACUAAAAUGCAAAAUAAAUGAAACGCAUGGGCUUGUAUGAAUACAAGGAAAAUUCGAUCCUUAAGGAGUAUAGUUAAAUUUUGUGUUUUGAGCAAAAAGGAUUAAAUUGUAAAAAGUGUGAAAUAUUAGGGGCAAAAUUGUAAUUUUCCUAUUUAUGUGUAUUUAGGCCAAAUUGAAUAGAAUGGUGUUUAAAUAAGCUUAAUUUGAAUAUGUUUAGAUCAAGAAUUAAAGAAAUCGGAUUUGGAUCAUGAAAAGACAAAAGUGGUCGAGUUGCCGAUUUAACCAUUCAACAACGUCCGAGGUAAGUCAAUAAGCAUUUAAAUGUUGAACUACCUAUGAUAUAUAUAUACAUUGAAAUGAAUUAUUUGAAGUUAUAUAAGCUAGGGCCGAAUGUUAUAUUGUGAAUUGAUUAUAUUCCGAGAAUUAUUUAAAUUAGAUGUGAAUUAUGUGAAAGACCGAUUUUGUAAGUUCAGGCUUUAUGCCUAGCAGGCUUUGUGCCGGUGAAUUAUAUCAGACUUUAUGUCUAGCAGGCUUUGUGCCGGUGAAAUGUAUCGGGCUUUGUGCCUAGCAGGCUUUAGCCGGUGUUUUAUACAAGGCUUUAUGUUCUAUAAAUCUUAUGUGAGCAAUAGUAAGAGUAAAUAAAAGUGUUAAGGAAAGCUAAAUUAUUCAGGUAUGUGUUAGCCAUUUGCUAAAUUGGUGAUAAGGUAGUGAUUAUUUUAAAUUGAUAAUAGUUCAAAUGAAAUAUAGAGUAUGAGUUAACCAUUUAAGUAUAAGUAUGUUUUGGCAUAAUGAUUUAUUAAAUAUUCGGCUUUGUUAAAUAUUUAUGUGUAUUUGGACAUAUGGUUUGUUUAUAUAAAAAUACAAUGUGAUCUUUAUUCAAGUCUUAUAUGGUACAGAAUAUUAGGAUAUUUGGUUUAUUUAACUUAAUGAUGGAAUAAGUAUUAAUAUAUAUAUAUAUAUGAAUUUUUGCUUAUGACUUACUAAGCCUUAAUAGCUUAAUGUGUGCUUGUAUUUGUUUACCUAUGUUUUAUAGAUUUUUGGAGUCGCAUUACGAGCUCGGGGAUCGUCAGCAUAGUCUAUCACACUAUCGACCGUCUUUGGUAUUUUGUAAAUUUGAAUUUGAACCUAUGCAUGUAUAGUCUAGUUAAUAUGUUUAAUUUUGGGAUAUGUGAAUAUGAGCCAUGCGAAAAUGGCUUAUUCAUUUUGGUUAAGCUUGGUUUUAUGUUUUUAAUCUAUUUGAUAUAUAUAUAUAUGAUGUUUAAAUUUAUGCAAAUUUCGGUUAUCUAUAUAGAAGUGUGAUGUGUUUAGCAUAUUGUUAAUAGUUGUAUAAAUUAGAUAUAUUUAAGCCUAUUUCGAAAGCAAUAUGUGUAUUAUAUGUAUAUGAU
rnacentral:lncRNA from 1 species